rnacentral:rRNA from 1 species
GACGAACGCUGGCGGCGUGCUUAACACAUGCAAGUCGAACGGAAAGGCCCUGCUUUUGUGGGGUGCUCGAGUGGCGAACGGGUGAGUAGCACGUGAGUAACCUGCCCUUGACUUUGGGAUAACUUCAGGAAACUGGGGCUAAUACCGGAUAGGAGCUCCUGCUGCAUGGUGGGGGUUGGAAAGUUUCGGCGGUUGGGGAUGGACUCGCGGCUUAUCAGCUUGUUGGUGGGGUAGUGGCUUACCAAGGCUUUGACGGGUAGCCGGCCUGAGAGGGUGACCGGCCACAUUGGGACUGAGAUACGGCCCAGACUCCUACGGGAGGCAGCAGUGGGGAAUAUUGCACAAUGGGCGGAAGCCUGAUGCAGCAACGCCGCGUGCGGGAUGACGGCCUUCUGGUUGUAAACCGCUUUCGCCUGUGACGAAGCGUGAGUGACGGUAAUGGGUAAAGAAGCACCGGCUAACUACGCGCCAUCAGCCUCGGUGAUACGUAGGGUGCGAGCGUUGUCCUGAUUUAUUGGGCGUAAGGGCUCGUAGGUGGUUGAUCGCGUCGGAAGUGUAAUCUUGGGGCUUAACCCUGAGCGUGCUUUCGAUACGGGUUGACUUGAGGAAGGUAGGGGAGAAUGGAAUUCCUGGUGGAGCGGUGGAAUGCGCAGAUAUCAGGAGGAACACCAGUGGCGAAGGCGGUUCUCUGGGCCUUUCCUGACGCUGAGGAGCGAAAGCGUGGGGAGCGAACAGGCUUAGAUACCCUGGUAGUCCACGCUGUAAACGGUGGGUACUAGGUGUGGGGUCCAUUCCACGGGUUCCGUGCCGUAGCUAACGCUUUAAGUACCCCGCCUGGGGAGUACGGCCGCAAGGCUAAAACUCAAAGGAAUUGACGGGGCCCCGCACAAGCGGCGGAGCAUGCGGAUUAAUUCGAUGCAACGCGUAGAACCUUACCCGGGUUUGACAUGGAUCGGGAGCGCUCAGAGAUGGGUGUGCCUCUUUUGGGGUCGGUUCACAGGUGGUGCAUGGCUGUCGUCAGCUCGUGUCGUGAGAUGUUGGGUUAAGUCCCGCAACGAGCGCAACCCUUGUUCACUGUUGCCAGCACGUUAUGGUGGGGACUCAGUGGAGACCGCCGGGGUCAACUCGGAGGAAGGUGGGGAUGACGUCAAGUCAUCAUGCCCCUUAUGUCCAGGGCUUCACGCAUGCUACAAUGGCUGGUACAGAGAGUGGCGAGCCUGUGAGGGUGAACGAAUCUCGGAAAGCCGGUCUCAGUUCGGAUUGGGGUCUGCAACUCGACCUCAUGAAGUCGGAGUCGCUAGUAAUCGCAGAUCAGCAACGCUGCGGUGAAUACGUUCCCGGG